rnacentral:lncRNA from 1 species
UAUCUUUUCGCUCAAUACUUUUAGGGUAUUUUGAGACUCGGGGACAACUUUGUUCGGCAAAACGAGGCACUACGCGACGGUUCGGUGGGUUUGACCUAGCCACACAAUGAGAAAUUCUCAUUUGUGAUGAAUUAAGUAUCAUUAAUUCAAAAAGCAUGCAUAUUCUUGUUAUAUGUAUUUAUUGUAAAUUUUAGAAUGCUUAAAAUGCCUAUGUUACUUAUAGUGCAAU